rnacentral:snRNA from 1 species
AUUGCUUCUCAGCCUUUUGGCUAAGAUCAAGUGUAGGAUUUGCUAUGAUUUGAAUGAAUGUGUCCCUCUGAAAUUGUAUGUUGAAACAUUCACCAUGAUGAUUAGUAGACAGUGGUGCCUUUGAGAAAUGAUUACUCAACAGGGCUCCAUGCUUA